UAUUUAAAAGCCAAACAGCCCCACAAUGUCAGACAUUGCUGGAUGGCUGCAGCAGCUGUACACACUCUACACUGCUUGUGUUUUCUUCCCAUCUUCCGAUCCCUCUACUGACCUCUCUGGCCACUUUUUGUCAUUACAGGUAAAAAUAUAUAUAUAUACAAUCAAUAAACUUUUACGCUGUGACACUUCGGGCCAAAGGUCUUGCUACGCUGUGAUUGAUAUUAGAUGCCAGUCCUCACUCCUCUCCUUACCAUCUGAGGCUUGCCAUGCGUCCCGAUUGCGAUGUCCUUUUAAGGGGUGUGCUGAGCCGUUGAAACUUCUCGGGUGAAAAGUUGUCUGUUACACUUUCUGACUCCACACAUACUUC